rnacentral:rRNA from 1 species
AUUGAACGCUGGCGGCAGGCCUAACACAUGCAAGUCGAGCGGAUGAAGGGAGCUUGCUCCUGGAUUCAGCGGCGGACGGGUGAGUAAUGCCUAGGAAUCUGCCUGGUAGUGGGGGAUAACGUCCGGAAACGGGCGCUAAUACCGCAUACGUCCUGAGGGAGAAAGUGGGGGAUCUUCGGACCUCACGCUAUCAGAUGAGCCUAGGUCGGAUUAGCUAGUUGGUGGGGUAAAGGCCUACCAAGGCGACGAUCCGUAACUGGUCUGAGAGGAUGAUCAGUCACACUGGAACUGAGACACGGUCCAGACUCCUACGGGAGGCAGCAGUGGGGAAUACUGGACAAUGGGCGAAAGCCUGAUCCAGCCAUGCCGCGUGUGUGAAGAAGGUCUUCGGAUUGUAGAGCACUUUAAGUUGGGAGGAAGGGCAGUAAGUUAAUACCUUGCUGUUUUGACGUUACCAACAGAAUAAGCACCGGCUAACUUCGUG